rnacentral:rRNA from 1 species
CCUACGGGAGGCAGCAGUUGGGAAUCUUGCACAAUGGGGGAAACCCUGAUGCAGCGACGCCGCGUGGACGAUGAAGGCCUUAGGGUUGUAAAGUCCUUUUUGGGGAAAGACUUAGGACGGUACCCCAAGAAUAAGCUCCGGCUAACUACGUGCCAGCAGCCGCGGUAAGACGUAGGGAGCAAGCGUUGUCCGGAUUUACUGGGCGUAAAGAGCGCGUAGGCGGCUCGUUAAGUGUGAAGUGAAAUCUCCAGUGCUCAACACGGAAACUGCUUUACAUACUGGCGAGCUUGAGGAAAGCAGAGGCAACUGGAAUUCCUGGUGUAGCGGUGAAAUGCGUUGAUAUCAGGAGGAACACCCAUGGCGAAGGCAGGUUGCUGGGCUUUAUCUGACGCUGAGGCGCGAAAGCGUGGGUAGCAAACAGGAUUAGAUACCCUGGUAGUCCACGCCCUAAACGAUGGAUACUAGACGUAAGAGGUAUCGACCCUCUUGUGUCGCAGCUACGACAUAAGUAUCCGCCGUCGGGUACGUACGGCCGGCGAACGGUUAGGUAAACGUACAAAUAGAAGUUAAGUACGGUCGUUGAGUACGUUGCCGAACGGACGACGACGAGGGAGGAGG